rfam:Aedes albopictus isolate Foshan contig93201, whole genome shotgun sequence.
UGCCCAGCAGCUCCUAUCCCUACCUCCUCGUGAUAUCGGCCGGAAACUAUGAGCAACCUUAGGGAAGAUCCGGUAACUAACCCCGGUGGGAAAUUUGGUCGUAGGCUGACAAGGAAAGG